AACGAACGCUGGCGGCAGGCUUAACACGUGCAAGUCGAACGCCCCGCAAGGGGAGUGGCAGACGGGUGAGUAACGCGUGGGAACAUACCCUUUCCUGCGGAAUAGCUCUGAGAAACUGGAAUUAAUACCGCAUACGCCCUACGGGGGAAAGAUUUAUCGGGGAAGGAUUGGCCCGCGUUGGAUUAGCUAGUUGGUGGGGUAAAGGCCUACCAAGGCGACGAUCCAUAGCUGGUCUGAGAGGAUGAUCAGCCACAUUGGGACUGAGACACGGCCCAAACUCCUACGGGAGGCAGCAGUGGGGAAUAUUGGACAAUGGGCGCAAGCCUGAUCCAGCCAUGCCGCGUGAGUGAUGAAGGCCUUAGGGUUGUAAAGCUCUUUCACCGAUGAAGAUAAUGACGGUAGUCGGAGAAGAAGCCCCGGCUAACUUCGUGCCAGCCGCCGCAGUAAGAC
rnacentral:rRNA from 1 species